rnacentral:rRNA from 1 species
AUAGUGAACCAGUACCGUGAGGGAAAGGCGAAAAGAACCCCGGCGAGGGGAGUGAAAAAGAACCUGAAACCGUGUACGUACAAGCAGUGGGAGCACGCUUAGGCGUGUGACUGCGUACCUUUUGUAUAAUGGGUCAGCGACUUAUAUUCUGUAGCAAGGUUAACCGAAUAGGGGAGCCGAAGGGAAACCGAGUCUUAACUGGGCGUUAAGUUGCAGGGUAUAGACCCGAAACCCGGUGAUCUAGCCAUGGGCAGGUUGAAGGUUGGGUAACACUAACUGGAGGACCGAACCGACUAAUGUUGAAAAAUUAGCGGAUGACUUGUGGCUGGGGGUGAAAGGCCAAUCAAACCGGGAGAUAGCUGGUUCUCCCCGAAAGCUAUUUAGGUAGCGCCUCGUGAAUUCAUCUCCGGGGGUAGAGCACUGUUUCGGCAAGGGGGUCAUCCCGACUUACCAACCCGAUGCAAACUGCGAAUACCGGAGAAUGUUAUCACGGGAGACACACGGCGGGUGCUAACGUCCGUCGUGAAGAGGGAAACAACCCAGACCGCCAGCUAAGGUCCCAAAGUCAUGGUUAAGUGGGAAACGAUGUGGGAAGGCCCAGACAGCCAGGAUGUUGGCUUAGAAGCAGCCAUCAUUUAAAGAAAGCGUAAUAGCUCACUGGUCGAGUCGGCCUGCGCGGAAGAUGUAACGGGGCUAAACCAUGCACCGAAGCUGCGGCAGCGACGCUUAUGCGUUGUUGGGUAGGGGAGCGUUCUGUAAGCCUGCGAAGGUGUGCUGUGAGGCAUGCUGGAGGUAUCAGAAGUGCGAAUGCUGACAUAAGUAACGAUAAAGCGGGUGAAAAGCCCGCUCGCCGGAAGACCAAGGGUUCCUGUCCAACGUUAAUCGGGGCAGGGUGAGUCGACCCCUAAGGCGAGGCCGAAAGGCGUAGUCGAUGGGAAACAGGUUAAUAUUCCUGUACUUGGUGUUACUGCGAAGGGGGGACGGAGAAGGCUAUGUUGGCCGGGCGACGGUUGUCCCGGUUUAAGCGUGUAGGCUGGUUUUCCAGGCAAAUCCGGAAAAUCAAGGCUGAGGCGUGAUGACGAGGCACUACGGUGCUGAAGCAACAAAUGCCCUGCUUCCAGGAAAAGCCUCUAAGCAUCAGGUAACAUCAAAUCGUACCCCAAACCGACACAGGUGGUCAGGUAGAGAAUACCAAGGCGCUUGAGAGAACUCGGGUGAAGGAACUAGGCAAAAUGGUGCCGUAACUUCGGGAGAAGGCACGCUGAUAUGUAGGUGAAGUCCCUCGCGGAUGGAGCUGAAAUCAGUCGAAGAUACCAGCUGGCUGCAACUGUUUAUUAAAAACACAGCACUGUGCAAACACGAAAGUGGACGUAUACGGUGUGACGCCUGCCCGGUGCCGGAAGGUUAAUUGAUGGGGUUAGCGCAAGCGAAGCUCUUGAUCGAAGCCCCGGUAAACGGCGGCCGUAACUAUAACGGUCCUAAGGUAGCGAAAUUCCUUGUCGGGUAAGUUCCGACCUGCACGAAUGGCGUAAUGAUGGCCAGGCUGUCUCCACCCGAGACUCAGUGAAAUUGAACUCGCUGUGAAGAUGCAGUGUACCCGCGGCAAGACGGAAAGACCCCGUGAACCUUUACUAUAGCUUGACACUGAACAUUGAGCCUUGAUGUGUAGGAUAGGUGGGAGGCUUUGAAGUGUGGACGCCAGUCUGCAUGGAGCCGACCUUGAAAUACCACCCUUUAAUGUUUGAUGUUCUAACGUUGACCCGUGAUCCGGGUUGCGGACAGUGUCUGGUGGGUAGUUUGACUGGGGCGGUCUCCUCCUAAAGAGUAACGGAGGAGCACGAAGGUUGGCUAAUCCUGGUCGGACAUCAGGAGGUUAGUGCAAUGGCAUAAGCCAGCUUGACUGCGAGCGUGACGGCGCGAGCAGGUGCGAAAGCAGGUCAUAGUGAUCCGGUGGUUCUGAAUGGAAGGGCCAUCGCUCAACGGAUAAAAGGUACUCCGGGGAUAACAGGCUGAUACCGCCCAAGAGUUCAUAUCGACGGCGGUGUUUGGCACCUCGAUGUCGGCUCAUCACAUCCUGGGGCUGAAGUAGGUCCCAAGGGUAUGGCUGUUCGCCAUUUAAAGUGGUACGCGAGCUGGGUUUAGAACGUCGUGAGACAGUUCGGUCCCUAUCUGCCGUGGGCGCUGGAGAACUGAGGGGGGCUGCUCCUAGUACGAGAGGACCGGAGUGGACGCAUCACUGGUGUUCGGGUUGUCAUGCCAAUGGCACUGCCCGGUAGCUAAAUGCGGAAGAGAUAAGUGCUGAAAGCAUCUAAGCACGAAACUUGCCCCGAGAUGAGUCUCCCUGACUCCUUGAGAGUCCUGAAGGAACGUUGAAGACGACGACGUUGAUAGGCCGGGUGUGUAAGCGCAGCGAUGCGUUGAGCUAACCGGUACUAAUGAACCGUGAGGCUUAACCUU